GGAAAUUUAAUAAGAUAUAGUGUAAAGAUUAUACAUUUUAAAAUAAGAAAGACCUAUAUUUGAAUGCUACACUCUGUUACUUGCUAGUUCUGUGAUAGCAGAAACUUUAGUUUCCUCAUCUGUAAAAUGGAAGUAAUAGACUUAUUUCGUAGGAUUCGGUCAAAAGAGAAUUAAAUAAUGAGUGUGAACCUCAUAAUAGAGCCAAAUAUAUAGUAGCAAUUAUCAUUUACAAAAUGCUUGUGCCUCUUAGACUGUGGCAGCUACUAAAUUUGAAUGUUUGAACAAAUUCAUUAACAUCACAAAGCUGCUACAUGUUAAAAUUAGUAAUAGCCCAGGUCAAAGAAGCCCAAUCACUAAAGGGGCUAAGAACGAUAAUGUUAGAAGUCCAGCUUUACUCACAGUAUUUUCUGUGAAGGUAUUCUUUUUUUUGUUUGUUUUUUUCAAGAUUUUAUUUUUUUUCCUUUUUCUCCCCAAAGCCCCCCCGGUACAUAGUUGAAUAUUCUUCGUUGUGGGUCCUUCUAGUUGUGGCAUGUGGGAUGCCGCCUCAGCGUGGUCUGAUGAGCAGUGCCAUGUCCGCGCCCAGGAUCCGAACCAACGAAACACUGGGCUGCCUGCAGCAGAGCGUGCGAACUUAACCACUGGGCCAUGGGGCCAGCCCCUCUGUGAAGGCAAUGUCACCAAAUUCUUAACAUCAAAUUAUGACGACUAUCCAUCAAGAACGAGGACCUGGAGCUUAAAAAUUGUGCUGACUACAUUUCAACUGGGCCAGAUAGAAGCCAAGGAUAGAUGGCAGUAGAUACUGCAACAGCUUCCAGACAAGUUGUAGUAGAAUAAUCAUUGGCGUGCUUUGCACAAGAAAUGCUAUCAAGACUCUCUAACAGACACUCUGAAUCAGUGCAGGGAAGCAAGAGCAGCAGCUAAGCCAACCUCAUGUAUUAUGGUCAGAGGAAAGUGAGUCAAAGUGACUUAUGAGGAGUGGAGCCGAAAGUACAUAUAGAGCUGGAUGAUACAUAUAACUGCCUGCCAAAAUAGAUCUCACAUCAAUGCCCAUGGCCAAAGCUUGUUUCCUUCCUUCUUCCCUCCUUCUCUCCUUCCUUCCUUCUCUCUCUCCCUUUCUUCCCUCUUAUCUCCCAAGGCAUUUGGUACAACUUUAUGUGGACGGUGGUUUCUUGAUAAGUACUUAUUGAAUGAAAUGCCUUGCAGGCAGGUAAAAACUAACACCCAACUCUACUGGCUACUUCAAGCGGUUAAUGGAAAAUGGAAGUAGGUCAAGGUAAGGAGGAAAAAACCCUGCUUUUACUGGAGCAAGGGCUUAGCAGAUUUAAUUAAUGCCCUUUAGACUCUAUGACGCUCUAACUGCUUUUGACUGGUUCAUGUAAAUGGUGCUGUACAGCAAGUUUCUUUCAGCCCCUUCAGAGAAAAAUGAAUUUUGAACUUUUUUUCUCUUGAAGUGGAAGUAAAAGAAACUAGAAAAUAAAGAGUUCAGAGCUGUCAGACUUCCAAAAUAAAUAAAGUUUCCUCCAAAUUCUUCUAAUGUUAACAAGGUUUGCAUUUGCAAGCUUUCUAUUUUCUUAUUGCAUAAAUUAAUUCAGGAAACAAAAAAUUUAUAAAGAUGUGAAUAUUCUUUUCAAGUCUGAAAGAAGUUUAAAACUAUGUAAUGGAGAGUAAACAAGCUUUUCAAAAUAUAGAAAAUUUCACUAGGAAGGAAAUAUUCACUGAUGUUGGUUUUAUUACAUAUUUCCUAUCAUGAUCUGGGAGAAAAUUUAUGAUAAAAUCAAACGAG
ensembl:lncRNA